rnacentral:lncRNA from 1 species
CGGCACGUACUCCGAAGAAGAAGGGUCGCUCCCUUUCUUCAUUAUUUUCUUCCCUGUUCAUCACCUCACCCACCGAGAAGAAAGAAAAAGCAAAACCCUCCCGUCGGUCGACUGUCUUCCGGCGUCAAUCCACAGAUCGCCUUCGCAAGACGCCGCCGCCGCCCUCUCUUCCCACCGCCGCUGCCUCCGACGCUCUCGCCCUUUCUUUCCCUCCUUCUCUCGGAUCUCACGCAGUGAAGAAAGGCACUGUCGCCGGAAAACCCCAAGGCAGCCCGGGAGGCAAAUAAGCCGGCCUCCUCGUCAAUUUCUCCUCCGAUUGUCACUGUGCAAGCAUCACCCACCGCAUCCGUUUCGCCGCGCCGCCGAUUCGCCUUCGGUCGCCGCCGUGCUUCCCCGGGGGUUUCGGCAGCAGCUUGCUGCCACCGACCGUGGCCGGACCAAGUGAAGGACGUCGCCGCCCCGUUCACUGCCGCACCAGCACCCCGCUCCACCGGCGCAACGUCUUCCCGCACCCACCGCCGCAAAAUCAGGCGAGAUCCGGCGGAAGCGGACGGACGGUCGAAGGUGGAAGACGAUCCACAGUACGGGUAAGAUUUCGACCCGUUAACCCAUAACCCAUUAGCCCGAACCAAUUCAAAAAAAAAAAAAUUCAAAAUUCAAAUUUCAAUAUUGCGGAUCGGACUAUCUUAACGGGUUGGGUCUGUUAACCCGAUAACCCGAAUCCACUUGGGU